UACGUAGGGUGCAAGCGUUGUCCGGAAUUAUUGGGCGUAAAGAGCUUGUAGGCGGUUUGUCGCGUCUGCUGUGAAAAUCCGGGGCUCAACCCCGGACUUGCAGUGGGUACGGGCAGACUAGAGUGUGGUAGGGGAGACUGGAAUUCCUGGUGUAGCGGUGAAAUGCGCAGAUAUCAGGAAGAACACCCGUGGCUAAGGCGGCUCUCUAGUACGGUACUGACGCUGAGACGCGAAAGCGUGGGGAGCGAACAGG
rnacentral:rRNA from 1 species